CGGCGCUCAGUAACCAGUUCCAGGAUCUGGCCAUGUAACCCUCACGAAAGACUCCAGUAGUUCUCUCAAGAGCACACCCCCGGGAGGCCCUACUCCUGUUUUCACUACUGUCUCUAAGCACAGAACAGGCUUCCCGCUCUCCAGGCUCCCGAGAAUAAAAUUCAAAACCAGUGUUCCUCAGUCGCCCCCUCGAGAAUUUAGACCCAGAGAAGCACCCGGCAAGCACCCUGCACUCACGGCCUGCGUCAGCCGCGGAUCUGGACGGCAGGACCACACUGCCCACUGGAGCCCAAGAAAAGCCCUGGGAAAUCCUCCAGGUUAAGUCAAGAAGGGUCAGGAGAAAAAGCAGCCCCCAAGGCAACCCUGCUGAGCCAACAAGCUCCCACAAAGCCUGCUGAGGCCUGGCAAAAGUUCCAAUCCUGCCAAUCGUCCUUGGCCCCUGUCCUCCACUCCCGCUCUGGACACCCUGCGCACAGAGUCCCCUCGUCUCCAAAGGAAGAUCUUAUCGGCUCGGAAGAAAGCACCGUGGUAAGCCUCAGCCGCUCAGACAACAGAACCGUCCCCCAGCCACCAAGGAGUCGAGGGUCUCAGUGGCCUGAGCAGCGCGUGGAGGAGUCAGGCUGGAGUCUUGCAUCCACCUCUUGUGCUGUGUGACCCUGGGUGAACCCUUCAACCUCUCUGUGCUUCUGAUUCUUCCUCGAUAAAAUGAGGAAACGUUUCACUAGGUGGACUUGACCUACUGGGAGGGGUCUCAGUGGGAGCAACCCAUGCAACAGAUUGCCAACACUUCGGGAAACAAGGACUGAGCUAAGAAACUUCUUUGAGAAGAGUAUCGGUAAAAUGAGAAGUGGGGGUGGGGGGGCAGAAAUGUGGGAAUUUCUGUAUCUUUAAUAUUCUUUACAAAGUUGCCAAAUAAGAGGUCUGAUGCAGUCAUUUCAUUAGAAAAUAAAGUGUUU